AACGAACGCUGGCGGCAGGCUUAACACAUGCAAGUCGAGCGCCCCGCAAGGGGAGCGGCAGACGGGUGAGUAACGCGUGGGAAUCUACCCAUCUCUACGGAAUAACGCAUGGAAACGUGUGCUAAUACCGUAAACGUCCUUCAGGAGAAAGAUUUAUCGGAGAUGGAUGAGCCCGCGUUAGAUUAGCUAGUUGGUGGGGUAAAGGCCUACCAAGGCGACGAUCCAUAGCUGGUCUGAGAGGAUGAUCAGCCACACUGGGACUGAGACACGGCCCAGACUCCUACGGGAGGCAGCAGUGGGGAAUAUUGGACAAUGGGCGCAAGCCUGAUCCAGCCAUGCCGCGUGAGUGAUGAAGGCCCUAGGGUUGUAAAGCUCUUUCACCGGUGAAGAUAAUGACGGUAACCGGAGAAGAAGCCCCGGCUAACUUCGUGCCAGCCGCCGCCGUAAUAC
rnacentral:rRNA from 1 species